rnacentral:lncRNA from 1 species
ACCAGCUUUCAGGGGGUUAUGUAAUUGAAAUGUUAUUAUUUGCAGGUUUCCUUCUACCUUAGAAGACACAAAGCUCCUUGUUGCAAUGUUUUCUGUUGGUGACUGGCUACCUCCAGGGGCUGACGAGGAGAUGUAAAACUACAGUGAACCCAGGGACCAUUUCAAAUCUAGGCCUAGUUUCACACUGGUGCAGUUUGACCCAAAACAAUGGGUCCUUCACAGGUCAGUGUCUUACUUCAGGAGGCCCCUUCAAUCUCCAGCACCAGCUAUGGGUCCUGCUUAAAUGAUGAGGCCUUAUGUGCUUAGAGGUCCAUAAAGCAAAGCUGAAGCUGCACAGAAGCCAUUCCGUUAAGCCAAAGCUGUGGCUCAUAAAUUAUUUGACUGUAAGUUAACCAUUAAUUGUAGGAGACUUUCUGCAUAUUAUUCAGAAUUAAAUUAUUGUUUCUUGCUCAGGGAGAAAAAAUGAGGUAAUGAAGAAGAAAGAGGAAGACAAAGGGAAAAGGAUACUUCUGGAUACUGCAAAGAUGUCUAAACUUCACUAGCAUGCUCAUCAUGUUUCAUGUUAGUUUGUACAUGUUUGAAAUGGUGGUGCCAAUCCUGACCAGCAGAGAUCCCAGACUGAGUCCUGCCUUGGAACCUGACAGCCUGCAUUUCCUGAGUUAACAGGCCCAGCACAAGGUUGCUCGCACCACCCUUCCUCAGGCAAGAAGCCCUUUUCACAUUGCUGACUACACAUGAGAUUGUUUCAAUUCAUAUCCUAUCUGGAGCAAAAGGCUUUGUCUGAAGCUGUCAUGACGUCGCUAGCUGAAACUGCCAGAGGAUUUUUGUUGGACCUGAACUUCUCUAUGGUGGAAAUAGCUCCUGAGCACUGAAUCACAGCAGUACAAGAGCAGAGCAGUUUUACAGUUUUAUCUCCUCUGCAGGCAAACAUUCCUUCUCCUACAGAUCACCAUAAGGGUAACAAAACUUUAUCAGCAUGACUAACACCAUAAUGCCUUGAUUCACUUAACAGUAUAGAUAUCUUUUGUACCAGCCCAUUGGAAGAUAGAAUUUCCUAAAAUUUAAAGCAAGUUUUGAUCAUGCAGUACUCUACCAAGCAGAGUUAGAAUCACCCAUGGCUUUGCUCUUGCCUUAUAGGUCUCAUCUUGCCCAUGUGCAUGUUAAUACAUUUUGUCACUUUUGUGACUUCUAUUGAGCCUGUUUGGAGGAAGUCUUGCCCAUCUCAGUCUUCCACUUACACCAGUAAAAGUUUUGCUGCUAUUUGCACUGAUUUAGGCUCCUGAUAUCAAAUACAACUGUAUGAAAAGCAGAGACAAAAAUUUGAACUUAAGAUUCUCGGCUGAAAUAACAGAGCACAACUUCCUUAAUUUGUACCAUCUGCUCAUACAGGCCAUGCUUGUCAGGUCUGAAGCUUUCUGAGUCAUUCAUCCAGUAGCAGGACUUCUGGAAAAUUGACUGAGGGUGGAAAAUGGUACUCAUGAAGAAUAAAUUUUGUAUUAUAACUAAUCUCA